UACGGUGGGGGCAAGCGUUGUUCGGAAUUACUGGGCGUAAAGGGCGCGUAGGCGGCCCUCUAAGUCAGACGUGAAAUCCCUCGGCUCAACCGGGGAACUGCGUCUGAUACUGGAGGGCUUGAAUCCGGGAGAGGGAUGUGGAAUUCCAGGUGUAGCGGUGAAAUGCGUAGAUAUCUGGAGGAACACCGGUGGCGAAGGCGGCAUCCUGGACCGACACUGACGCUGAGGAGCGAAAGCCAGGGGAGCAAACGGG
rnacentral:rRNA from 1 species